UUGAAUGUUUGACUGGCUCGUGCUCGCAUAGAUGAUGUAUGAAAUUAUUAUUUCAUAUUUUUCUAGUGUUUGCAUUGCAAGUGACAUCUGGCUGACAGCAACCUGGAGAAAUGGGAUAUAAAGUGAAUGCUGCAGUUACCACGGUAUCAUAUUUAUCAAAAGGCUUAAGCUACAGAGACAGAUGCAGAGCUGAACUCUGGCCAUUUGUGUGUGGGAAACCAAAGUGAAAGUCCAGUUGCUUUGAAGCUCUGUGAAGGCUGAAGGAACCUCAAUUAUUUUACUUCAGCCCAUGGGAUCCCACUUCAGUUGCAGCUGUUUGAAUUAACAUGUCUUCUUGCUGCGUCUCCUGGCUGAGGAAAGUGCAAGAAGUGCUGUCAUGGCCAGCAGAACAAACAGAUACCUGAUGUAUUACUUCAUCAGCAAAUUCAACAAGGCCAAGAUGUCUUCAUUUUCCUUCAGAGCAAGAGCUGUAAGAGCAGUGUGGUGGAAGUAUUGGUCUUCUGUGGCCAGCCGGCAAGAACCCAUCAACAGCUGUGAUGAGCAGAGCAGACAUGGGAGACAGGAGGCAGCUGAAGCCAAAGAGGACCCACGCCUGGAGCUGUGUCUGUAUGAUUGGAGCAGAGAGAGGCCAGGACCCAAGGAAAUCCCAGCAGCAAGGGAAAAAAACAGAUUGACUCUCAGUGACUCAUUUAGCUCCUGGAUUGGACAGAUCUCUCCCCUGCUGGCAAUUUGGCUGAGCAUCAAUGGCCAGAUACCAGGAUGA
rnacentral:lncRNA from 1 species